AGAGUUUGAUCCUGGCUCAGGACGAACGCUGGCGGCGUGCUUAACACAUGCAAGUCGAACGGAAAGGCCCUUCGGGGUACUCGAGUGGCGAACGGGUGAGUAACACGUGGGUGAUCUGCCCUGCACUUUGGGAUAAGCCUGGGAAACUGGGUCUAAUACCGAAUAUGACCACGCUCUUCAUGGGGUGUGGUGGAAAGCUUUUGCGGUGUGGGAUGGGCCCGCGGCCUACCAGCUUGUUGGUGGGGUAAUGGCCUACCAAGGCGACGACGGGUAGCCGGCCUGAGAGGGUGACCGGCCACACUGGGACUGAGAUACGGCCCAGACUCCUACGGGAGGCAGCAGUGGGGAAUAUUGCACAAUGGGCGCAAGCCUGAUGCAGCGACGCCGCGUGAGGGAUGACGGCCUUCGGGUUGUAAACCUCUUUCACCAGGGACGAAGCGCAAGUGACGGUACCUGGAGAAGAAGCACCGGCCAACUACGUGCCAGCAGCCGCGGUAAUACGUAGGGUGCGAGCGUUGUCCGGAAUUACUGGGCGUAAAGAGCUCGUAGGUGGUUUGUCGCGUUGUUCGUGAAAACUCACAGCUUAACUGUGGGCGUGCGGGCGAUACGGGCAGACUAGAGUACUGCAGGGGAGACUGGAAUUCCUGGUGUAGCGGUGGAAUGCGCAGAUAUCAGGAGGAACACCGGUGGCGAAGGCGGGUCUCUGGGCAGUAACUGACGCUGAGGAGCGAAAGCGUGGGGAGCGAACAGGAUUAGAUACCCUGGUAGUCCAA
rnacentral:rRNA from 1 species